rnacentral:sRNA from 12 species
UAGCACUUGCUAAAAAUAAUGUCGAAACUGGACUGGCUUAGUAGUUUCUUUUAAGCGAAAAGUCGGUAGACAAAAUAAGAA